UCCAGGCUCUGAGUUGUCAGCACAGAGUCUGACAUGGGGCUCAAACUCACAGACUGUGAGAUCAUGACCUGAGCUGAAGUUGGAUGUUUAACUGACUGAGCCACCCAGGCGCCCCUAGAGUGGCUAUUAGUUUUUCAAGUCUUUCACCUGUGGCAAUUCAGGUGAUGUGACUGUGCUCAAAAAUGCAAGGUUUUAAAAGAAGCUCUGUCAUCAAGUUUUACUCUGUGCAGCAAGGAAAUGAUUUUUAGCAUCUCCUAAGAUGUCACAGUUUUCCUGUCUAAAAUUAGUUUGUACUUGGUGUGACAGUGCCAGGCAUCCUCACAGUAUGAGCAGUCACCUUGUACAGGAGGACAUUUCUGCCCUAAUGAAGAACUGCCCAACACGAAGCCUGCUCUGAAUAGAGAAAAUAUGAAAUUCCCACUAUUGAGAGGCCUUCAGAAAUUAUAUUUAGAAAUAAAAGUCCGUUUCCACCCAGCAUUUGGAGAAUGUACCUCUGUAUCAAGAGUUGCUGGACUAAGUAAUGAUGAAAGAUAUUCACAUAAAGCUGCCUCCAGCUUCAGGUUUCCAAUACAGGAAGAAGAAAACUCCCUGCUGUCUGGAUUCUGACAUGUGCCCUCUGCUUCCUGAAUGGCCAUUGGGACCACACUGGCAAGAUCCAUUCAGUGAUUUCACAUUUCCACAUCCUGAAUUUUGCUCUUCAGCUUUAAAUGUAAAGAUUAAAUAGAAAUGUUUUCAUUGAGACUUUGGCAAAAACCCAUGUGGCAUUUGCUUCUGCAUUUACAAGGCACGUAUCUAGAAGCAGACUAAUUCCCUCUAUAGACUCUCAAUAUUUCAUCUGCAACGCUUGCUCAAGGACUUGCUCCUGCAUGUACAGUAUAGACGAGAUGUGACUGACUAGGAGGGUGGAAUGUGCUUCCCCUUCACAUUUAGCUAGUUUUUCUUUUUUCUUUUCUUAAAGAUUUUAUUUUUUUAAGCAACCUCUGUGCUCCAUGUGGGGUACGAACUCACAGACCCCUAGAUCAAGAGUCACACGCUCCACCAAGUGAGCCAGCCUUAGCUGGUUUUUCUUAUAAUUAAAGAUAAAAGACAAAAAAAUUAAAAUGGUAGAUUACAGAAAUUCCAUUUGAAUCAACAUUUAAAGAACUCAGUAUCUGAGCGACUGUUGCCACCUUUAUUCUCAAUUGUUUAUAAUUUGUAUGCUUUUCUCUGAAGAAUUACUUGAGAGGCAUUUAUUUGCACACUAUGGAUUCUCCUAUAUGAGGGGAACAGACAUUAGAAUGUUGUCAACAAAAACAAAAACCGGGCUUUCUCAGAGAAAGAGAAUCAAAGAUUGUAGAUCACCUGGGAACAGCAUUGUCUUGAUAAUUUGGGAUUAAUAGGUGGGAGGGAGCAGAGAAUGUAUUCUCGGCAGUCUUCUCUUGAGCAGGCAUGCUAGGAUCAUCUAAGAAAUGGAUUCUAUGUAUAUAUGGGUUCUCGAAAAAUGUGGAGAGUAGCUCUCACCAUCCAGAAUAUUUCAGCCUCCUCCGAGUUAAGUCAAGGGAAGAGCUGGAGAAAUGCAUUGGGCUCCUAAGGGUUUUGGCCCAGGAAUGGCACAUGUCAAUUCCAAUUACGGCUUGUUGGUAGGAAGUAGUCAAAUCCAUCUGCCUUGUGUGACUGCUCUUCUGGAUGUCCAUGAAGGGGACGAGAACCAGAUGCUGGUGAGUACUAGUUACUUAAUAUCUGUCACAGUAUCGUUCCUAACUUACUCAUAAUUCCCCACAUUCAUUUUUUUCUAUUCACACAAGUAUAAAUGCUUCCAUAAUUAGACGUAAUUAAAGAAACAGUAGUUACGGACAUGCGUGCACGCACACAUGCACACACACCGAUUAUCAUCUCCCUGAUGGGUGCUGACAUCUGUGCUUCUCCCUUGAUUGUCUUGUGAAGAAGUGAAGGCACGAACUUGUGGGCAGCUCUGAGGCAUGGAUGCCAGGCCCUAGCAGGAGCGUCCAUUGGGUUCAGCCCUCCAGAGCCUAAUCUUACUGGAGUAAGGCCACUUUCUCACCCUUUGUCCAGAAACUAGCUGACUUCAUAGCUUACAGGGAUCCUGGCUCACAGGAUCUUCUGACAUCCCAGAGGAAGCCAGAAGAAGCUGGCCUCAUCUCUCAGCUUGAUAAUCAGCGUACAGACCCACUUGGUGGGAGGCCAGUGUGCCUGCUGGGCAGAUAGGCCAGAGCUUGGAAGCUGGGAUUCUGAAUAGAAGCCAGAGUGUGUGGCGCCAAGGCAGGAAUUGUCAGAGGAAUGGACGUGUUGAUUCUGAUGAAAGCCAUGUCAAAGCUCAAUCUGAGGGCCAGGAGAAGGCCAACGUCAGGAGAGGAUGCUGGGAGCUGGGUGAAGUUGGAAGGCCAUGGGUCAACUUGAGAUCCAAUGCAGAAGACUUUGUUGCCUCCUGCAUACAGGGGUGGAAGCUUGUCUUCUGGGUUCCUCUGUCUUCAUAGCACAUUUUAUAGAAAAUUAGCUGUAUUGAAGCUCUCUCCAAAUGAGCUAUGGAGGACAGGACAGGAUUAUGUCACCUCUGUAUCCCGAGCUAUCUGCAGUUUUCAACCAGCAGUGAAAGGAAGCAGAGGGGAAGUUGGAGGGGCGGCUACUAAAAGGGUUUACCCAGGCUAGAGGCCUCUGUUAGCACUUAGCAGCACCCUGUAGAUACCCAUGUGGUUUACAGAACUUCCCAGGUGACUGUCUUUUCCUGCUUCCAAGGGCCAGCCAGGUUUCCCCCACCCAGAAAUACAUUGCUCGCUUCUCAUUAGUCACAAGCUGUGGGAAAGUCUUUUUUGCUAAAGUGAAAGAAAAGCCCCUAAAACCGUAUUGUUAAUUCUUGUCUGUGGGUAAGGACGGACUUGCCUGUUCGCCAUCCUCUUGCUUUGCUCCAUCUUCUGUCCUUGAAUGAAAGGGCUGCUGGGAUGGGGAGUAGGGGUUGUUCAGAGGGCAGGGCCUUCAAUCUAUAGGCAGUUACAUAAAAUGUCAACAUUGGAAGAUCCCUCGGGUGGCCUCUGGUCCUGCCCCUCUUUCUAGAGCUGAGACCCCUGAGGCUCAGGGAGGGAGGUGGCUGGCCCAAGGCUGCACUGCUCCCCAUCACAACCCUAACAAGCCUGGGCUUUCAGAUCACACUGCUUCUAACCCCUGAACCGGGUUCAUUACUGCCUUUUUUCGUAGCCUAGUAGAUGCUGAGAAAGAGGCAGACUAAACAUGAGUUAGAAGGACAUUGCACCAGGCAGUUUGUGGACCCUUGUUUUCUCUCUGCAUCUUUCAAAGAACAGAGGCCUUUGUAAUUUCUUGGAAUUAGAUGGAGUUAGUCUACGUGUUGCUUUCUUGCUCAUGUUAACAACCAUUUAAAUUUGAAAUUUCUCUUUCAGCUGAAAAUAUUUCUUCCUAUUCUGUGGCACAUUAUAACAUGAAAUGAAAUGGGAAAUUUAGAAACAAUUUAUAUUCAGUUCAAUAAAAUCAGUGAAUGCCUAUAAAUAACUGCACGUUCAUAAUUUCCUCCUGCGUUUACUCCAAUACCGAGGUGUGAAAUCUGUUGCCUUGUCUCUGUAGUUAAUGGAUCCAUCUCUAGUCUUACAUUCAGGUAUGCUGCGUUGUGGGGCUGUAGUCCAUGGGCUUCCAGAACCUAGAUGUGCUAGAUCAUGAUCUGGGGAAUCCCAUCACUGGGGAGACAUCAUAGGCGUUUGGAAUCUAGUUAGGGUUACUCGUGGUUUUUCAUUUGUCUUGCGUUCACAUUUGUCCCCAUUUUUCAUUUAAGCAGGAAUAUUUUGUUCACUGUGUGCCAUUCCAGAGACCAAGAAGAUAGUCUCAUCAACUGGAAAUGUGGGUAAGUGUCCACAACUCUUCAACAAUGGAAGAAUCAUUAGCAAACCCACUGUAAUUAGCCUCUCUAGCUGCAGACUCCUUGUGCGGUAAGAUCUAGAGGAGAUGAGCACCAACCCCCACUUGAAAUUUCUGCAGAUCCCCAGAGGGCAGGGGGGCAUGGGUGCUGUCUUGUGUCAUCUUGCUCCAAACUCCCUCUCUGCUCCAAUUUGUGGGUCAUCUCACUGUGCCCUCUGUGUGGACUGAUGUCAGUUCAGCAUCUCACCACCUCCUCUUUGCUCAGCCUCCAGCUGUUUCCACGUGGGGCCAGGUAAGCGGGUGCCACUGUGAGGAGCCAGGAUGCCCACGUGAGGCCUGGAGGAGGAAGAGGCGGCAAAGCCCUUAGUCUUCUGCACUUGUCACAGGCAGACAUGAGGGCAGAUGGUGACAUCUGCUGUGACAGGGGCUCCCACCCCUGAGUUUCUGGAGUUUUGCAGGGGCUUCUCAGUCCUCUGCUCCCCAAACCCUCUGUCUGCUUCCCUUUAUCAACACCUUUUAUUCUUAGUUCCUGAGCAAACCCUGUGCUGCUAUGUGGGACACAGUGACCUAGGUGUGAACUCAGCCCCAUCCCUGAGUCCCAUAAAAACCACUCACUACCACUUGGUCUCCCCUGGUUUUGCUUAUGGAAUUUCCAGCCCCUUGGCUAUCUCCCAGUGGUGUUCACUUUCCUUUUCCAUUACCAAACCCUCAGGUGUGCUCUGAAACCCCAAGAUUUCGUGGCAAUCCUAUGAUCCAUGCACCAGCUCAUCUGGAUUGUACCCAUUUUGGGUCACAGUGUCAGUGACCCCCCCCCCCCCCCCGAGGGGCCUUGAGUUUCUCCCUAACACACUGAGGGGACUAACGGAAGAAUGUAUGGUCUUUCAGCUGAGUAACUGAGAUGAUUUGCGUUGACCAAGUUUUGCGCCAAACUUCCUGGGACUGAGUCACUUAGAUGCAUGAGUCAGGAGAGAAACCACCUCUUAGCCCAACUAUUUCUACCUUGGCCUUCUGGAGCUGCAAGGACUGGGUGUCACAGACACCUUAGAUCCGCACAUCAAUGCCCUCCGUGCCUCUGCUGGUCUGCUCUCUGGAGUUCCCUACCGUCUCUUCAUUGGGUAAGGCUGUUUUCUAGCAGAUUGUCAGGAAGGGCUCCAAGGACAACUGUCCCCAAGAUGCUGAUUGUCUACAACGGCCUCGCUGCAUCCUCUCUCCCAAUGUGUUUCUCCCCUUCCUGUCUCCUCCUCUUUUCCUCACCAUCUUCUAGCGGUUUCUUUGGCCUCUUCCUUCACUUCCUCCUCAGUGGUCCAGGUCUCUUCCCGGACUUUCUGUCCUUUCUCCCUCUGCCUGGCCUCAGUCUCUGCAGAGGCUCCUUCUCUGGCAUGUUGACUCUUUUGGUCUCCCCUCCAUGUUACUACUGUACCCUUCCAGGUUAUCCAGGGGUCAGGGCCUUUGCUGGCUGACACCCACUGGAAGGUUGGAGGGUCACUGUGCUAUUCAGGCUGCGGUGGUCCUGGCUCUCCCUGCACCCUCUUUCCUGCAGGUCUGAGGAAAGCCGGAGGCCCGAUGCUAUCCCUGUGUACCUCCCAGAGGCUGCGAAGGAGGCAGCAGCUUGGUGUCGGGGCCGGGGGAGGCAGGGGUUGGGCGGGAGCUACAAGAAAAGAAAGCGAGAUCGGAGUGGAAGAGGCAAACUCUCGAGUGAGGAAGUUCUCAUCAGCUCACCACAAGGUGCAUGUUGGAAAGGGGCUCAGGCAAAAUCAACUGCCACCCUCAUUGCUCUUACAAGUGACCAGACCCAGGAGCAGCCCCAGUACACAUUAUUUGUCUCCUUUUUAUUGUGGCAGUCAUUCUUUGGCAUAUUGAGGUUCUGACAUAUAUAAUAGUUGUUUGUCCUCAAGGAAAAAGCCUGUGGAUGAAUUAAACUUUAUCCUAAACUUGGUUUAUCACAAAGCACACUUGACCUUCUUUCUCGUAGGAUAAGAAUAGGCUCCAUCACAUCCUGCAAAGAGGGGAGGGGGGAGCUCAGUUCACAAGAUUAUUCUAGUAUAGCCGUGUCCCCAGGCAAAGGAUUCCUGAUGCAUUUCACCGAAGAUCUCCCCUGACUUCAAGUAAACCCAAAUAUAAAAACUAAAUUUAAACUAAAGAAAACAUAUUCUAAAGAGUGGAUGCUAGUCAAGUGAUUGUUUUCUAUAAAGGUGUCAUCUAUGGUGUACUUCCUCACAGUUCUGUGGGCUUGUUCCCCACCCCCCCUCCUCUCCCCCUCCCCCCCCCUGCAACUUUAUUUCUGCAGAGACCAGGAGCCCUGGGAACUCCUUCUGUCCAUGACACGGUGAGACCCUGACAUAUCCUUCAGGGACCCAGCUACUAGGGUUGCUUCAUGUGGGAGCAAAACAAAUACCACUUUUGAUCACAUGCUGAAAAUAAUCUGUCUUUCCUCCCAAGAGCCACCAGGGUAACAGCCCCUUUUCCAGAAAGGAUGACUUCGGUGUCUUCCAUUUAUUUAUGUUUAAAAAUUUUCAACUCAGAUUGAAAACCCUGCAGAAGUUUUCGUUACUUAGAUCAGCAUUUCCAGGAGCUUUCCAAAAAAUUUUUUUGAUAUGCAAAUUUGGGUCUUGUGUUGCUUACAUGAUUCCAUAAUGAAAAUCAUUUGGAGAAUUUUGAUAUAAGCACAGGUAAUUACUUUCUUUACCACAGGAGUUCUCAGAGGCCUUACUAUGCUAAUAUGCAUUAAGGGAUGCUAUACUGCUUCCUCUUCACGCCAGCCUAGGAGGUGACCGCAGGGGCGUGGAGGGUGGGGUUGUCCAACCCUGCAGAGCCCCGGGGCACUCACCGGGACCACCUGCAGCCCCCAUUCUGUUCCCUGGGGACCUAGGGGGCGCACUGGCGUGCCCGACUCCAGACCCAGUGAUGUGGGUUCUGGGCCUGGAUCUGAAAGGGAAACAGCAACGUAAGCACUUGGAGAAAGGGCCCAGCCCCACCGCCUCUGGGCUGUGCCUCCUGGCCCUCGUCCCCCACAGACCUCCUCACACAACUCCAGGGUGACCCAGGCUCGGUGCCCCAUUGCAUGGAAGAACUCCACCUUCAGCUUCAGGAACUCCUUGUAGAGUUCUGGCCAGUGCUCCCUGCCCAGCAGGAACUGGAAGAUGCUCCGUUUGGAUGUGGGGUUGUCCUCCUCCAUGUCGGAGGCAAUGUAGCUGCCAUGGGAAAAGCAGGGAAGCUUGGCAGGCCCCAGUGCCCGCAGCCAGCCUCAGGCAGCACAGUGGGGAGAGUCUGCGGAGGCCACACUGGAGGACCCGGUGCCUGGGUCGGUCUAUCCAGGAGGGAGGGUCCGGGAAGCCCUCUCUGCAGGGCGCCUGGGUCCAGAGGGACAGCAGGACUAUCCUCAACACUAAGCCUACAGGACCCAUGCUGUGCCUGGCCCGAGUCAAGGUUCUGGCUGUCUGCCAUUUCCCUGUGGCCUCCUCUCUUGGGUCACGCAGUCUCUGAGCAGCCAGUGGUGUUUCCUGACUCUUCUUUAUCACAGGACCUUGCUCAUUGCCUUCCUCUCCCCCAAGAACGUCUGACCCCUGAAGACCUUUUGUCUGCUUUGCGGCCAAGAGGGACUACCAGUGGGGACUCUCUGGCUCAUAGCAUGGCCACGCACCCAGGUGGGCUGGUGAGGCUGUGGGAAUGGGGGGUUUGGGCAGAACUGAGAACAGGCCCCCAGGGAGACACUCACAGGGCCAGGAAGAAGUGGAUCCUGUUGUAGAGGUGUCCAGGCAGCCCGACACGGCCAAAAUAUUCUACCACCAUGGAAAGCAGGUACUGUGUGGAGUAGAAGGCAGGUGAGGGGUGAAUAGAAGGGUGAGGGUGUCCUGCACAGGCCAUGGGUCCUGCCCCAUCCAAUGGCCAUAGUGGGAAACCCUCAGCAGAGGUGGAGGAGGGAGGCUGUGCUGAGGCCCUUUGGCAUGUGGAGGGGAGCCGACGGGAAGGCCAGCAGAAGAUUCCAGUGGGCAGGGCAGGCCACGGGCAGUGUGUCCUUUCCUUCUCUGGCACUGAGAGCAGGUCUCUCCAGGCCUUCUCCUGCCUGGGCAGAAAUCUGGCUCUCUGUUCUUGCCCUCAUGGGGUGGGGACUCGGUAGACCCCUUGGUCCCUCAUCAUUAUGCAGCAGAUACCUUAUCAGACACUUUGAGGAAAAUGUCAGCUUCCAAGAAGCUCUGGAUAACAGGAUCCUCUGCAAAGGAAGGGAAGGUGAUGAGGGCCUUGGGGCAACCCUUCUGGGAGAUGUGAGUGAAGGGCUGUGGGACAUCCCAGAGGGAAGGAGGAAAACCGGAGCCUCUCCAAGUUCCUUUGUCUCAUGGAAGUGGAGGCAGCCUCCUUUCUUCCAGGAGGCUUACGAGCCUUAACAUUAGUAAUAGCUGCUAUUCCUUCCACUGGCCCCUGUAUUGUGAGUUUCAAAUGUGGGGCAUGGAGUUUGCUAUUAUAAUUUAAUCUUCCAUGUGAUGGCAGGGGGCACAUUUUUUUUUUUUUUUUUUUUUUUUUUAAUUACAGAGAUGUGACCCGGCUCUCAAAGCUUAACAAAUUUGCCUCAAGCCAGAAGCUUGCAUGUGGCCAUGGGUCUCUGUGACACCACAUCCUUGUCACUUUAUCAUGCUGUGACUGUCCAGAGUUUCCCUGCCCCACCUGAUUAACUGAGCACCCUGAGCCUGUGGUGGGAAUAUAUGACUCUAUCUCAGUGGGUAGAGGAGGGACCCCUUGGUUGGUUGUGAAAUGUCUUGACAGUUGAGGACUCCCUAGUGUGACCCUUCAUCCUCUCCCUCCAAGAACUUGUCUCAGAGAGGAAGAACCUGCCAACUCCACAGAAGAAGCAGGGUCGCUCUGUGUCCACACCACCUGGACACCUUAGAGGUUAGCACCUGGGGGAGGGGGGGGGGGUUUGAGCACGAUCCCAGAGCCACUGCCUCCCACAUGAUUUUGAGCUCAGCAGGGCCCUGAACGCUCCGUCGGCCCAGAGCACACACCCAGAAGUCGGUAGAAUGCUUCUUGGUCUUCAGGACGGUAACUGGGUCUUCUCCUCUUGUUCAUCCUGAGUUUUGUCCCCUCAACAUGAUUGACAGUCCAUAUGUUCUUCUGCCCCCUCUUCUUCCAGGACUUCAGCUCAGAGAGAGCUUCAGAGGUGGUGGAAUUGGAGGCUGGGGCACUUCUCUCCUGGGUCCCUGCGGGAACAACAGACUCGGUCACUCGGAGUGUGUGGAUGUGACCCACCUGAGACGUGGGGUCCUUUCCUUGCAGCUCACUCUGAAGACUGGACCCAGCCUUGUGAAGAUAAGAUAACAAGUGAUUUACUCGGCAUUAGUUGAUACUUGGUGCAGGGAAGCUGAGGGAUGCCUAGGGACACAUACCUGCCUUCACAUCCGUCCAUCUCCUCUUCUUCUGGCCUCUCAUUGUCCUGGCUCUCUGCUCAGGGACAACCUCUGAAGAUGCAGAACUGGAGGCCAGAGGGCUCCUAUUCUGUGGAGCUGCAGAGAGAAAGGAAGGACCCUGUGUCAUCAUAGGGGGCCCGCCCGGGAAAUGCGAGGUCCUUCCUUGCCCACUCACCUUGAGAAUUUUGCAUGUGACGUCUGAAGGGAUAAGAGAAUGACCAUCACCCCUUUGCCCUUGUCUAUAAAGGAGGGUAGGAAUUGAGCUAUUAUUUCCCUUUCUUUGCCAGGCAAAAUCUACUCUCCUGUGCCUCUUUCCAUGGAUCGUUCUGCCUGGGGGAUACCUCUAUAGAGACAGAUGUGAAGUUCUCUAGUCCUAGCUGUCUUUAAUAGGUAUAAAAGUGAACAUGAUAGUGACCUCCCUGUCUCACCCUGAACACCCUUUCUUCUGCCCAUGCAGAUCCAAACACAUGAGAGUAGAGAGGAGGAAGGAGAAAGGAGCUAUGGUCUUCUAUCAGUUUCAUUCAUUCAGAAACCAGGGUUAGAGGCCAGAAGACCACGCACACCUGCCUUCCCUUCCAUGCACACCCUUUUCUUCUGACUCUUCUUUGCUGUGUCCUGUUGGCUUGGAGCAGUCUCUGAGGCAGCCGAUGUGGAGCCCAGAGGGGUCCUGUCUUCUCUGCAUACAAAAAGAGGGAAGGGAUCAACCUGAUUCUGACUGGCCAUUUCUGUUUGCUUAACCUGCUCCUUGUGAAACCUGAUAAUAAUUAGAAUGGUAAAAAUAGUUAACAGUUAUUGAUUGCUUGUUGAACUUCCAAUAUUGAUCAAUAAUACAUAGAGAAUGACCUCAUUCAAUCCUUAUAAUGAUCUGUAAGGUGAGAUGUAUAGCUUACCUGAUUUACAGAUGAGAAAAUGGUGACUUAACUUGUCUAGGAUGUGUUCCUUGACCGUGGCUAGAGCGCUUUGGAUUUGGGAUUAGAACUUGUGGUCUGACCAGUGCUCAAGGGAAGAAUGGCCAGGGGCAGUGAUAGUUGAGUCUCAGUUACCUUUCCAUGAGGGCCAAGCUGGAUGGUCUUACACACCAGUCUAGUACAGGAACGAGGCAACACUCACCCAGAACACACGUCCUGGCUCUCUCAGGAUCUAGGCCCUUCACACUUACUCAGAGCACAGCCUCAGAACAGUGUGAGAACACUGACUGUAGCCAGGUGUUUGAGAUCAAAUGGCUUCUAAGAUUCCAGAGCCCUUGCCCCAAGUCACUGAUGACAUCACACCAUUCCACUAGGAGCUGCUGUUUGGUCUAUAAAAGGUGCUCGAGGAAAAGGCGAUGGGCCUCAAGGGGAGGGGAGUUAGUAUCCAAGCCAGAGGACUGGACUCAACCUCCUCUUAUCCCAACAUUCUCUCUGCUUUGAAACUCAUCUUGUGUUUAAUCAAAUCGAUUAAUGAUUCCCAAUGAAAGCAAUGCAUCCACAUAUUAAAAACUGAGAAAGCACAAACUUGAAAGCUGAUUAGUUCCUCAUCCAUAAUAAAAGUAAUUCAUAUAGUCACGCAUCAUUUUGAACAUCUUUUUCACAUGUAUUUGCCAUCUGUAUAUCCUCUGGUGAAAUUGAAUUGUUUCCUUCUUUACUAUUGCAUUUUGAGAGCUUUUUAUGUAUUCUGGAUACAAGUCCUUUGUAAGAUCCAUGGUUUGCAAAUAUAGUAAAACCUUGGUUUGUGAGCAUGA